rnacentral:rRNA from 1 species
GCGGAAGAGCUCCGGGAAACUGGAAUUAAGACCGCGUACGCCCUACGGGGGAAAGGUUUAUCGGGGAAGGAUUGGGCCCGCUUUGGAUUACCUAGUUGGUGGGGUAAAGGCCUACCAAGGGGACGAUCCGUAGCUGGGCUGAGAGGAUGAUCGGCCGCGUUGGGACUGAGACACGGCCCAAACUCCUACGGGAGGCAGCAGUGGGGAAUAUUGGACAAUGGGCGCAAGCCUGAUCCAGCCAUGCCGCGUGAGUGAUGAAGGCCUUAGGGUUGUAAAGCUCUUUCACCGGAGAAGAUAAUGACGGUAUCCGGAGAAGAAGCCCCGGCUAACUUCGUGCCAGCCGCCGCGGUAAUACA